UCUUUUUUGUAAGUUACUAUCUUUGUCUCAUUUUUGUUUGAGAAUUUUUGUGCAGACUAUAUAUUUUGUUGUGUAUGCUAAUCAUGCAUAAUUAGAUCAAACUGAUAGAUGCUUAUUGUUUUUUUUCUUUUUUGAGUUCAGAUUUCUUAUGAUAUUCAAUAUGGCCUUGAUAUCACAUGAAGACAUCACAUUGCACACCUAGAAGAGUGUUUGACAAUCGAGAGAUCUAUGCAUUAUAAGAGCACCUCUACCUCUGUGCCCCUUGCCACCAUCAUAUAUAUCUUGUAAACUAUCAUUGGCUUUAUGGACAAGACUAAUGCGGUGGAGAUUGAUGAUCCUCUGAAAGCUCCAGAGCUUGAUCGAGACAAACAAGAAGCUGCACUGAAGCUCAUGGCCAACGGUGCAUGCACCCUUUGCAACACGGGGAAGGGACAAAGAGACUUAGAGCAUUGAUGUUUCAUUUACUGGAAUUUGAGAAUCAGGUUCAAGUAUCCUUUCUUUGUUGA